CUCCUUGCUCUGCAUUGACAAAGGGUUUUGGGAGCGGCCUCCUUCCAGUGCUUGGAUAAGGACUCUGCUCACAGUCACUGCAAGCCUCUACAACUUGGCAAACAUACCACAGAGCAUCACAGUACCCUCAACAGUGCUUUUAAAACCUCUCUUUCCACGGAAUCCAGAGACAAAAACCAUUGCAGCCUGAUUUCUGAGAAGCCAGAAGAGCUCUGCAAAGCUGGGAUGUGAGAUGGAUCAGAAUGGGAGACCAAGAGGAUUCUUUGCUAUUGUGCUUGCCAAUGGAAGGGAGGAAAAAAGGAAGAAAGGAAAAAGAAAGAAGAAGAAAGAAAAUACCUUAAUUAAAACAUGAUCUGG
rnacentral:lncRNA from 14 species